rnacentral:tRNA from 1 species
GCCCGGAUCGCAUAGUGGUUAUUGCAGUGGAUUGCUACUAAUUUUUAAGAAGCGAAAAUCCACGCCCGCAAGGGCGCCCAGGUUCGAAUCCUGGUCCGGGCG